GUGGAAUUCUCUCGUGCUAUAGAGUGGGCUUUCGACCUAUAUCACUUCCGUUUGGUAUGCUAAGGUAUUGGCACUCAGUAUAGCAACCAAAAAUGAUAUGCCAAGAGAACAUCCACACAUGUUUUAGAUCUAAUCAACAACCAUAAAUGAAUGUCGAUACUGGUACCGAUGUUGUUCGGUUUUCAACCGCUAUCGGUUCGGCACUACGAUAUUAAAAAAGUACUUGAUUGCGAAUACAACUUUAUUUUUAACAAAUUUUAUAAUGACACGUAGAAACAACCAUAAAAACAAACGAAUACGGUACCAACACCAAUGUUGUGUGGACGGUAUCGAUUCGGUUCUUCGCAAGAAAGAAAAAUAUCAACUAUACUUUGGCUCAUUUAAAUCAAACGUUAAUCUAAUUGUAGAUAGAAAUAAACAUAUCGCAAUGAUACUUUCGGAAUCAUAUAAUAUGUUAUAUUACUAAGGAAUUGACCAGCUUCAGAAACAGUAUCCAACGAGGGCUUCUCUUUGCAAUCGCUGGAGAACUAUUUUAGGGUCAAUAAAGACUGUUGGAGAACUAUUUUAGGGUCAAUAAAGAGUGGGAAAGACUAAAAGAAAUCGUACUAGAAACUGGAAUUAAAACUUCCUUUUAUAGUGUCAAUGCUCGGAGGGACCGUCACUUAUCAUUGACAGAAUGUUGGAACGUAAGAAAAUAAUACUCCUAACAAAGAAUGCGUUUAUGUGUUUAUGAACUUUAUGUCAUUAGUUAACAACAUAGCACAUUUCCUUACUAUAAAUCAACUUGUGGAUAUAGCUUUAGCUAUCUCUCUUUGUUUUGAUGAGGCUUGCUCAGUUUUUCGUCUUUGAUAAGAAUACGAGAAAACAGAAAUGAAGUUCAGCCAACCUUUCUCCUCGUUCAUUACCAAAUUUGUGCUAAAGCCUUUUAGACCAAAUUAUUAUAACAUUAAAGUCGAUGAAAUAAUUCAAAAUGACCAGAUAGGGAUAAAUGUAGAAUCAUUAACUCCGACAUCCUUAUGUGCCCUUACAAAUCUUAAUCAAGAUCAAGCAACUACUAGAGUUCCACGCAAUGAUGACAAUAUUAGUAGAUUUAUUCCUGAAUUUCUUGAACAUUGCCAAAAUACUUUGUUGUGUUGCAACAAGUAUGAUGACCGCCUUGAGAUUAUUUUUCUUCGAGACGAGUCGAAGACUACCACCAAUGAUUUUGACACCUUCGACAUUGGCUAUGGCAAGUUUUGCCAUAAGCAAGUAGUUUUUUUUUUACUAAAUCAGAAAAUGAGAAAAUGGAUUUGCAAAGCAAGGCAGUUUUUUACAAAUU